GACGUAGGGCGCGAGCGUUGUUCGGAUUCAUUGGGCGUAAAGGGUGCGUAGGUGGCGCCGUAAGUCGGGUGUGAAAUUUCGGAGCUUAACUCCGAAACUGCAUUCGAUACUGCGGUGCUUGAGGACUGGAGAGGAGACUGGAAUUCAUGGUGUAGCAGUGAAAUGCGUAGAGAUCAUGAGGAAGACCAGUGGCGAAGGCGGGUCUCUGGACAGUUCCUGACACUGAGGCACGAAGGCCAGGGGAGCAAACGGG
rnacentral:rRNA from 1 species